GUAGGUAGCAAGCGUUGUCCGGAAUUAUUGGGCGUAAAGCGCGCGCAGGCGGUCCUUUAAGUCUGAUGUGAAAGCCCACGGCUCAACCGUGGAGGGUCAUUGGAAACUGGGGGACUUGAGUACAGAAGAGGAAAGCGGAAUUCCAAGUGUAGCGGUGAAAUGCGUAGAGAUUUGGAGGAACACCAGUGGCGAAGGCGGCUUUCUGGUCUGUAACUGACGCUGAGGCGCGAAAGCGUGGGGAGCAAACAGGGAUUAGAUACCCUGGUAGUCCACGCCGUAAACGAUGAGUGCUAAGUGUUAGGGGGUUUCCCGCCCCCUUAGUGCUGCAGCUAACGCAUUAAGCACUCCGCCUGGGGAGUACGGCCGCAAGGCUG
rnacentral:rRNA from 1 species